rnacentral:rRNA from 1 species
UACGUAGGGACCAAGCGUUGUUCGGAUUUACUGGGCGUAAAGGGAGCGUAGGCGGCAAUUCAAGUCAGUUGUGAAAUCUCCGAGCUUAACUCGGAACGGUCAACUGAUACUGCUUUGCUAGAGUACAGAAGGGGCAAUCGGAAUUCUUGGUGUAGCGGUGAAAUGCGUAGAUAUCAAGAGGAACACCUGAGGUGAAGACGGGUUGCUGGGCUGACACUGACGCUGAGGCACGAAAGCGUGGGGAGCAAACAGG